GUCUUUGGGAGAAACAACAACAAAACUACAUCUGUUGGUGCUCUGUGAAAGUGGAAAUAAUUUUUGAUUUGGAAGAUAAGGAAGAAAGAAGACAGACAGAGAGAAAGUGGGUGAGAGAGAUAAGCCGCAAUGUCGAUGGAGACAUGAGGUAAUGGAGAGAGAUGUAGCUGAAAAGCAUCUCUCAGGAGAGAAGAGGACUCGCUCAAGGACAUGACCUAAGAGUUCAUUUAUGUUCAUUUGUUCUGGGUCACAAAAGACCUGAUGCCUUUCUCCACUCACAGUACCACUGGUCCUCAAUAACUCCAUUUAACCUCUCCAGGGUUUAGGAGUUACUAACUAAAUGUAGCGAUGCUACUUAAAGAGAAUUCACUCACAAGUUCAAAUUCUGUCAUCAUUUACUCACCCUCAUGUUAGAAUAUUGGCCAAACGGAAUAUUGUUUACAACAAAAACAAUAUUUUCAAACAGGCUGGAGAGACGCAUUCCACGUCCCGCAUGUUCAGGAGGUGGACACUUCACACUGAGUCAGCGCACACAUAACUCAGCCUCGGCUCACAAACUUCUUAAACUACUUCAAAGAGUUCUCAUCAAAAAAAUCCUCCACGUGCAGCAAUGACAGCUUUGCAGAUCCUUGGCAUUCUAGCUGUCAGUUUGUCCAGAUACUCAGGUGACAUUUCACCCCACACUUCCUGUAGCACUUGCCAUAGAUGUGGCUGUCUUGUCGAGCACUUCUCACCUUUAUUUUUCAUUUUAUCAUAGAUGUUUUCUUUAUAUUAAUAUGUUUGAAUGAAUAAAAUAAAAUGUAUUUUUUGUUUAGUAAGUUUAGUUAUUCCUUGUAAUACAGUUUUAUUGAAAAAUCUCAU